AAGAAAACAAACAAGGUCAAGACUACAGAAAGAUAAUACCUCAAGUCUUCUCCUUUCACUUAAGCAUAUAGAGGACGGACCAAAGAUAAGAGCUAUGGGAGCAUGUGACAGCCACACAAUGUCCCCUCGGUUGGCCUCAUUGACCGGCCCAUGGCACCUUCCAGGUAUGGAUCAAUUUGCAAAAGUUCAUCAGUUGCAGCCCUAACCCUUCAAACCUUGAUGGAAGUGCUUGCUUGCCAAUCAUCCUCACAUCACCUUCACCUGCAGUCAUGUCUGACCUGGCCGCAUAUGAGAGAUAACAUUCGUGUCUGCAGAGCUGAGAGAGGGGACAAAAGGAAGUUUGACGUUAAUGAUUAACGGCGCUAAAAGCCCCUGCUUUUGUAUUCCCAUGGUACCGAGGCUAUCUGGUGGCCAUGUGACCUGCGUGGAGGAGAUUGGGGGUUAGCGGUAGAGCAAACACAGGUGCUGUGUUUGGGUUGGAGUCGCCUGCGCUGUCAGGGACAACCACAAACACACGCAGCUAUGCCAAGCUCCACAAACAGCCGCCUACGCCAACAGAUCAAGUCCAAUGUGCUCCUCCCCGUCUUCCUAUAUGUUCCACAUUGGAAAAAGUACCUGAUUUAUGUCUAGUGCAUUCUAGCUGGGGCAUUCUUAAGGAUUGUCCUUGAUGUAUAGUCUAAAUAAAAACACAAUUGCCUUUUACUUUUAUAAUAAUAAAAAAAACUAUUAAUACAUGCUUUCAUUUAUGUACCUGUAUAUUCCACUGUGCUGAAUGAUCAUGUUCUCAUGCCACAUGCAACUGCUAAUCAAUUUUGCUGAGGUUGCCUCACUGUAAUUAAUGAGCUGUUCUCAAUCAUUCUCAAUCAUGCUAAACACAAUGUU
ensembl:lncRNA